rnacentral:lncRNA from 10 species
UGGCCUCGGAGAAGCCGCUGGCGGCAGUCACUUGUACAGCGCCGGUCAACAUCGCGGUCAUCAAGUACUACUGUCACUGCGACACCCAGGCUGGAGUGCAAUGGCGUGAUCUCGGCUCACUGCAACCUCCGCUUCCCGGGUUCAACCGAUUCUCCUGCCUCAGCCUCUCGAGUAGCUGGGACUACAGGUGUCCGCGUUUAUCACCCCUGGAACUGUCCGCCAUCCUCAGAGACCUCCCCUCGCACAAAACCGAGCAGAUGGUGUGCUUAGCGAAGCCGCCGUGGAAUAAGACUUCAGCUGAAGCACCACGCAGCGCUCCCAGGGCAAACGUUUCCUUUCGGGCUUUCUGGAAGUUUGAUUUCACGUGCUGUCCCAUGGCCGUGCUGGGCAGAAAGGGGUUUAUCCUGGAUGUUCCUGGGGCAUAUGAGCAGUGAGAUGUGAGGAGUUCUCAGAGCUGGGCUCCUUUUGUUUGGGAAGGUGGAGGGGAGGCAGGCCGCGGUGGGAGCGAUCCGCACCUGGGCACUCACGGAUGCUGGAGUAGAA